CGGAUCGGAGUCUGNAACCCGACUCCGUGAAGCUGGAUUCGCUAGUAAUCGCGCAUCAGCCAUGGCGCGGUGAAUACGUUCCCGGGCCUUGUACACACCGCCCGUCAAGCCAUGGGAGCCGGGGGGUGCUUGAAGUGCGUCGCCGCAAGGCGCGCCCUAGAGCAAAACCGGUGACUGGGGCUAAGUCGUAACAAGGUACC
rnacentral:rRNA from 1 species